rnacentral:rRNA from 1 species
GUAGGUGGCAAGCGAUGUCCGGAAUUAUUGGGCGUAAAGCGCGCGCAGGCGGUUCUUUAAGUCUGAUGUGAAAGCCCACGGGCUCAACCGUGGAGGGUCAUUGGAAACUGGAGAACUUGAGUACAGAAGAGGAAAGCGGAAUUCCACGUGUAGCGGUGAAAUGCGUAGAGAUGUGGAGGAACACCAGUGGCGAAGGCGGCUUUCUGGUCUGUAACUGACGCUGAGGCGCGAAAGCGUGGGGAGCAAACAGGAUUAGAUACCCUGGUAGUCCACGCCGUAAACGAUGAGUGCUAAGUGUUAGGGGGUUUCCGCCCCUUAGUGCUGCAGCUAACGCAUUAAGCACUCCGCCUGGGGAGUACGGCCGCAAGGCUG